UAGGGACGCGACCUACAUGGUGUAACCAA
rnacentral:piRNA from 1 species